GUCCGUCCGGUCCGUAGGUGCGCUCACACGCACUGGGGGAAGUAGAGACCGCGCUCCCGAAGCAGCACAGCGUCGCAGAUCCUGUAAGCCCACUGCCUCGCAACUUCGGCUCAUCUUGUGUCGUGAGGCUCCCAUUUCAGAUUCCCGUGAUAGCUUGAAUCACGAUUAAAUUGAGCUCCGCCCCUUGGCGUUUACGACACCAGGGAAGGAGGGCUUUCCAGGCGCGGGACUUCCGCCUUGUCUCGCGGUGGUGAUGGGGAGAUCACGUUGUCGCGUGUGGCGGCGUAAGAUUCCAGAGGAGUUUGGAUGAGGAUGUGCUGAAUCUUAUUUCAGUGGCGGAUGCUUCUAUGAAAGACGUCGGCACCGUGUGGGAAUGAGGCCAGCGGGAAAUUAUACUCUUGGAAAUAUCUGGACAAGAUAACACAGAUCUUGGAAGG